ACCUCCGUGCUCACAGCGCUGUGGACCCACCCCAUCCCAUUCCGAACUGGGUCGUGAAACGCAGCUGCGCCGAUGGUACUUGGACGGCAGCGUCCCGGGAGAGUAGGUCGGUGCGGAGG
rnacentral:rRNA from 1 species